UUUAAAUUUUUAAUUUUUAAAAAAUAUAUUUAAAAUGUUGACAUUAUUUUAAAAUUUUGAUGUAAAUUUUUAAUAUUUAAUUUUCAGUUGAAUUUAAACUAAUAUAUUAUAAAGAUAAAAUUGGCAUAUUAUUUUGAUUAUUUUUCUGAUAUCUAUUUGAACCAAACACCGACAAUACAAAUGGUUCAUUCCAAUUUCGAUUCAAGUGGCGAACCGAACAGAAUAAGAUAAUAAAUCAUUCCGAUUUCGUUUCCAGCUUAUUUUUAAUUUCAUUCCGAUACCGAUUCCGACUUCGAACCAAACACACCCUUAGAAUAAAAUAUUAUUUAUAUAAUAACC
rnacentral:lncRNA from 1 species